CCUACGGGCGGCAGCAGUGAGGAAUAUUGGUCAAUGGACGAGAGUCUGAACCAGCCAAGUAGCGUGAAGGAUGACUGCCCUAUGGGUUGUAAACUUCUUUUAUAUGGGAAUAAAAUGUUCCACGUGUGGGAUUUUGUAUGUACCAUAUGAAUAAGGGUCGGCUAACUCCGUGCCAGCAGCCGCGGUAAUACGGAGGAUCCGAGCGUUAUCCGGAUUUUUUGGGUUUAAAGGGAGCGUAGGUGGAUUGUUAAGUCAGUUGUGAAAGUUUGCGGCUCAACCGUAAAAUUGCAGUUGAAACUGGCAGUCUUGAGUACAGUAGAGGUGGGCGGAAUUCGUGGUGUAGCGGUGAAAUGCUUAGAUAUCACGAAGAACUCCGAUUGCGAAGGCAGCUCACUGGACUGCAACUGACACUGAGGCUCGAAAGUGUGGGUAUCAAACAGGAUUAGAUACCCGAGUAGUC
rnacentral:rRNA from 1 species